GGAAUUUUCCGCAAUGGGCGAAAGCCUGACGGAGCAACGCCGCGUGAGGGAUGAAGGCCUCUGGGCUGUAAACCUCCUUUAUCAAGGAAGAAGAUCUGACGGUACUUGAUGAAUAAGCCACGGCUAAUUCCGUGCCAGCAGCCGCGGUAAUACGGGAGUGGCAAGCGUUAUCCGGAAUUAUUGGGCGUAAAGCGUCCGCAGGCGGUCUGUCAAGUCUGCUGUUAAAGCGUGGAGCUUAACUCCAUUUCGGCAGUGGAAACUGACAGACUAGAGUGUGGUAGGGGCGGAGGGAAUUCCCGGUGUAGCGGUGAAAUGCGUAGAUAUCGGGAAGAACACCAGUGGCGAAGGCGCUCUGCUGGGCCAUAACUGACACUGAGAGACGACAGCUAGGGGAGCAAAUGGGAUUAGAUACCCCUGUAGUC
rnacentral:rRNA from 1 species